rnacentral:rRNA from 1 species
UACAGAGGUCCCAAGCGUUGUUCGGAUUCACUGGGCGUAAAGGGCGCGUAGGCGAUUGGGCAAGUCUCUUGUGAAAGCCCAGGGCUUAACCCUGGAAGUGCAGGAGAUACUGCUUAAUUUGAGUUCAGGAGAGGAAGGCAGAAUUCCCGGUGUAGCGGUGAAAUGCGUAGAUAUCGGGAGGAAUACCAGUGGCGAAGGCGGCCUUCUGGACUGACACUGACGCUGAGGCGCGAAAGCUAGGGGAGCAAACGGG